UAAGUGAUAAUUUGCAGUUACUGCAUCCUAAAUUUUCCACCAAAUUUUCCAACAAAGUUGUAUCUAUGAAAAUAAAUGUUGGCUUACUGGAAAUGUCUGAAUCCGAAAACUUUUCGUUAUUAAUUGCUCUAUUAUUGUUCAGUUCUUGCUCAAAUGAUCUAAACUUUCAUUAUAAUGCUGAUUCAACCUCAGAUUUAUCUAUCUUGGAAGAUUCGCUGUUAGUGACAUAUUCAUCAUCACUGUGUGACGAGCGCUUUAAUUUCUUCCGUGCAGCACUUAAUUAGUGUUUCCUCGAUUUCCUUUUUA
rnacentral:lncRNA from 1 species